CAACGGCUACAUACGUCCACUCGCCUCUGUGUGAGUGGUAGAAGGGGGAAGCGGCGAUGGACCGCGGCGGCGGAGAUGGGUGGAGCGAGGCGGUGGAGGACGUGGUGGAGCGGGGCGGCGUCGAGGUGGCGACCUCGAGUCUAUCGUCUCCAAUCUCGAAACGCACUCCACCCCGUCCGACGACCUCCGCCUCGCCGAUCUCCAAUCCUCCCAUGGAUUCUCCCUCGAGGCCGACGAGCUCCGCUCCGGGAUUAGGGUCAGUCCGACGGUCUUGGACGCCAGAAUUUGGGUUCCGGUUUUUAUUGAUUCUGAUCAAAUCUUGUUCUUCUUGUUCUUUUAUUUUGAAUCGAUGGGAUUGUGCAACGGUCAAGGAGAAAGAACCAUCGAAAGAAGAAAUUAGGGUUUCCAGUCCUUCAAACAACCAAGAAGACGAAGAUGGGAGCAGAUUGGGAAGCCAUUGCCGACCGGGGGCACCAGAUAAGGCGUUGCUCUCCCAAAUGGCGAGGAGAAGCUGUUUGAAUAGCGAUCAGCCUGACAUUGUGACCGCCUUAGAACCCAAUUCGGGGUUCGAGAAUAAAAUGGAUGCUCGUGGGCAUCAUUUUGAGGAUGAGUCGAUCGGAACUGGAGACUAAAGAUUUGGUACCAGCCAUGUUCUUGUUCUGUAUGAUUUCCUCCCUAGUACUCGAAUGAUCAAUUUAGAGAAGCUCUUUGAGAAGUUUAGAGAUCAUGGGGUUGCUAUACGCUGGGUUCAUGAUGCUGUUGCAAUUGCAUCUUUCAAAACACCAGCCAUUGCAACCUGAGGAAUGAAGUGGAAGCCAGGUUGAUGGUAUAGCCUUGGCAGUUGAUAUCCAUACUGCUUGGGAAGGUAUCCUCAUUUGGCAUCGCUCUUUAAGGGCCAAAAAUCAACUUUUGGAGGGCAAGAAGCUCUUUUGGAUUUUGAACUGUUUGGUAAAAAUUUUGAUCCAACUAUCUAGCUUUUCAAAAGCUAAAAAGGGUCUAUCAAGAAAAAAGCUUCACUUUGGAGCUUUUAGCAAACGAGGUUCACAGCAGCCUUAACUGCACAUUCAAAGUAUGUUCACUUUUUGAGGAUGACAGUCUGUUGACCCAGCUCACCCACAAUGGUAUCUCCUUUUCAAAUUGCUUCUGGUUACUAUCUUAGUGCUCUGCUACAAGCAGAAGAAAACCAAAAUAGAUCUGUAUGGAAGAUCAUGAUAUGCAGUACCUAGAAUCCUUGUGAAGCAUGUUUUUUGCUUUUCAUGGUAGUGAAUUUUUUGUGCUACUUAUAAUGGAAUUUACAUGAGUAUGUCAGGAUCCUUGUUC